rnacentral:lncRNA from 1 species
GCUAGUAGCCUAAGAGAUGUACACCUGCAAAUGGAUAUUCGCUUCAUUUGGCCAUUUAGUAUGCUGGUACACGACAAAACGGACAAAAAAGUAAUUCAAUAACUGAGCGGGAUAAAUCAGCACGCAAGGCAGUUUAUUAGAAAAAAACUCGGCUGUCAUUCUAACACACCUACUCCAGCAAAAGGCAAAGAAACAUCUUCCGUAAGUGUAAGAGGGCUUCACAACGUCUUUAGAUCAGGUUUGCUAGUGGACAUCGUUUCCUCUCAUAUCCAGGCAGAAAGCAAGAAGAGAAGAACUUUUAGCAACUAUAGCAGGUACUGAUUUGCCUUCUUUGGCUUUCUCCAAUAUGCUGCCUAGGUUUUAAAGCUUGUGUUAUAUGCGUUUGUGCUAAAGUUGCCAUAUUCAGUUUCCGAAAAUGUCAUAGAGGUUCAAUUUUUGUUGUGUUUAAACACGCGAUUUUAUACCUUGUGAACAAUACAACCACAGGUAAGAAAAAAUCACAUACGCAGUAAACGAUAGACAUUAAUGUUUAAAUAGCAAUGAACCAUUCUCAUUUUAUUCGGGCUUGUAUGUAUUUGCUUUUUAACUACACAUUCCCAAACAGACCAGAAGGAAAACGGCAAGCAGUUUAAUGUUGUGCUAAACUUAUACCGCAGUUUGAAUAGCUUCACCUUCGGGGUCUCUUUGUAAACAAAGACAAUAACUUGAGAGCCAAGGAGUAUUUUCAAAACAAAUUUUUUAUUUAAAUGUGCGUAAUUCUUUUAGUAAGCACUUUUCGUGUCUUUUCCGAGACUCUCACUGUUCAGUCAACGGUAUUUGAAUAACAAUAGUGUCUAAUUUCUUGUAGUCUUCCAUAUUGAAUGACAAUGCUAUCAAAAGGGAAAUUGUGCUAAAUAGCUAAGAUGAUUAUAUAACAAUGAUCUCCUUAAGGGAAUGUGGGUGUUAAUUAAAGGUACAUUUAUUAUGUUACAGCAAAAAUAUAGCUCUAGUAACUUUUAAAAGGAACUUUAAAAAAAAGUUGAAAUUUGAAUACUUUUUUGUGUCAAUAGUUGUGUAAAGGGCAAUUUCUUGAGAAUUUUUUCCCUCCCUUUAAUAGCUAAGUAAAGAAGUGAAUUUUCUUGAAAAUGUAAAUAAUAUAUUAUCUUAAAUGGAAUUGUAGUUUAGCACACGUGCAUGCAAUUGUCCUUCAUUUUUCAGCUUUGAUAUCGUUAACAAAUGAACAAACAUUCAAGUCUUUGUUCUUUACGUCUUUUAAGCAUUGCAUGUUGUUGUUAAAGUUUUCUUGUGUCAUGCAUCGUUUGAGUAAUUACGACACGUUAUUUAAUGAAAAACGGUCUCGUCAUUGUGUUUUGUAGUCCCACCCCCCUCCCUCAGAAAAGAACUUUAUACCUGUACAAGAACAAGCCUCAGUAUGAAUAGAUUACAGGAGAAUGCUGUUAUGAAGACACGAGAAAAGCCAUUUGGGACAAAUUAUGUUUCUCUCGACAACUUAAAGCUAAAUCAACGAGCUUCAUCAUGCUUAAACUAAACGUUUUUCCUCUCACUUCAAAGGUCAACAGUUUCACAAGUUUUAUGAGACCAACGGUUCAUAAAUAAUAAUUCCUGACAUUGUGCAUAUUCACUUGAAUCUGAUGAUGACUUCCGCACAGGUUGUCGAAACGUCAGUCACUGCCACCGACAACAGUCCUUCUCAGGACUACACUCACCCGGACAAUCAGACUACACCUUCACAUUCUGCAUAUUAUGGCCGACCCCGAGAAGAAAGCGCUAAAAACUGUGUACAAGGCCAUCAAUCCUUACCUGUCAGUCAACAUUUGCAAACGAGCUCUGAUAUCUUUUGGGGCGUGCGCUUUCAGAUCUAUCAAUGUCAAUCGAUGAACUACGAAUUAACGAGUUAAAUUCAAUUAAUGAACAGGGGUCACUGUCAUCCAAAUGAUGAAAAAUGUUUGUUUAUGCCGUCUGUAUCUGUCGGUGAGAUUUUGAACAAGGUGCUGUCCUUGAUGUUCAUUGCUUUUUGUUUUGGGAAAUGUCUGUUACGCGCCAGCAUUUUAAACAUUAUUAGUGAUUAAGCUGCUAAAAAUUUGGACCAUUUUUGAACAAGCAUAUAUCCAUCCGUAACUCACAAAGUGUUAAGUUACAGAUUAUUAAUUUAACAGUAGCUCUAACUUAAACAAUAAUGAUCGUGUCUCCCGAAGAAAUGACAAAAAAGAACAAGGACUUGCCUUUUAAAGUAAUGUUGAUCUUCGAAAAUGGCUAAAAAGUUUUAAUCCAUAUAUUAGCAAAUUCAGAAAGUAGUGAAACUCGAAAAGCUGCAACCGCAUGAGUAAUUUUCUUUUCAGUUUAGGUUAACGGAAAUGACAGAUGUUAGUAUCUUCUUUCGUUUUUGGAUAAUUCACUCCAACCACUAACAUAUUUCUAUUUUUGGAGUAAGAAAACUCUAGCUGUGUCCAAACAUUUGAGACGGUAUUAACUUCGGACAACCAUUUCCGGUAAACGUUUUAAUUACCCAAACGUAGAUGAUAGCUCAACAGUAAGGACCUCUCGAAGGUAGUCACAGAAGAGGCGCUGCUAACAAGAAAGUAAGUAAUUAACCAGUAAGACAACUCAGAGCUAAAAGAACCUUAAGUACUCUUCAUUAAUAUCAAUUGAAACAAUUAAUUACCCUUCUACCGCUUUGCAUAUCGGUUACCUAUGAUACGGUUUUUACUUUUGUCAUCUAAAUAUGCUCGAUGUUCACUAGAACUUUGUCUCACGUAAGAUUUCAGUUGUCUUUGCCCUCGUAAAUAGUGAACACAUCUAAUAGUAGCGCGUUUGCUUGUAGUAGUGUGUUCUGCUCUGUAAUACAUUCCCAUCAUCCCACAAGAAUUUUCGUUGGGGUGAUGCAUCUGAGAGAGCAGAAAAUACCUUUGCAUCUCAUCGCAGAUGGUGAAGUGAUCGUAUCGGCAUCGUUUCUGAAACAGUGUAAACAAUAUUAAAACAGUUAGCCUCACAGAUCAACUGUCGAACGGAGAGUCAGUCAGAGGUAAAACUUAAGAUCAAGGAGUCAAAAACUGAAAUUUAAGGCUGAAGUAUCAUAACAUAACUUCCUCGACCACUAAAGCGUGUAAUGUAAAUUGGUAAUAAUUUUUUUAAAUUUAACCAAUGAAGGAUUUACAUGUAGGUUACAUUAGAAAUUAAAGGUUUUUUUAUGUCAAACACUGAUUAUAGGUUGAUAAGACAGAUAAGACGAAGAAAAUAGGCAUUCAUGAUUGAAACAAUCAGGAGAAAUUUAUUUGUUGUCCGUGGGAGAUCUAACAUUUCAAGUUGUUUCCGUAUUUCCGACACAAAACACCAACCAAGCUCUAAACAUGUUGUUUAUGAUGUUCAUGAACUCUGAAUGAAGAAUAUUUGAUACUGUGGUGAUCUAUAAGGGUCCAUUGAUGUAUAUAAACCAUUAAUUCACAUUCCAAGAAUGAGAAAAACUAUAUACUAUUCAUUGCGUCUAGCUUUCAGGGACUUCUGCCUUUAUCUUGCUAUUCCUACACUUAGCUAUGCUAUCUAUUGUAUGUUUAAACCCAAUUUUUGCGCGAUACUACUUUCGUCACGUGAUGAAAAAUCACAGGACGAUUAUUAUGCAAUGACCCCCGUUUUUGUCCCCCAAUGAUUUCCAUCGAAAAGAAACAGCCGGCUAGGAAAAGCCGACUCAACAGUUUCCCUUUCAUCUUUUCUUCUUUGUGUGGAAGAAAAACAAAAUCGUUUCAUAGAGUCCAUUGAUAGUGGCGUUAAAAACUUGUCGCAAAUGCUGUUCCUGAAACUUAAAAAAAAGUCAA